rnacentral:rRNA from 1 species
UCGGGAAUUUUGGGCAAUGGGCGAAAGCCUGACCCAGCAACGCCGCGUGAGGGAUGAAGUAUUUCGGUAUGUAAACCUCGAAAGAAUGGGAAGAAUAAAUGACGGUACCAUCUAUAAGCUCCGGCUAACUACGUGCCAGCAGCCGCGGUAAUACGUAGGGAGCAAGCGUUGUUCGGAUUUACUGGGCGUAAAGGGCGCGUAGGCGGCGCGGUAAGUCACUUGUGAAAUCUCUGAGCUUAACUCAGAACGGCCAAGUGAUACUGCUGUGCUAGAGUGCGGAAGAGGCAACCGGAAUUCUUGGUGUAGCAGUGAAAUGCGUAGAUAUCAAGAGGAACACCUGAGGCGAAGGCGGGUUGCUGGGCCGACACUGACGCUGAUGCGCGAAAGCCAGGGGAGCAAACG